rnacentral:rRNA from 1 species
UACAGAGGUCUCAAGCGUUGUUCGGAUUCAUUGGGCGUAAAGGGUGCGUAGGCGGCGCGGUAAGUCGGGGUGUGAAAUCUUGGAGCUUAACUCCGAAACUGCAUUCGAUACUGCCGUGCUUGAGGACUGGAGAGGAGACUGGAAUUUACGGUGUAGCGGUGAAAUGCGUAGAUAUCGUAAGGAAGACCAGUGGCGAAGGCGGGUCUCUGGACAGUUCCUGACGCUGAGGCACGAAGGUCAGGGGGAGCAAACGGG